rnacentral:lncRNA from 10 species
CACUAAAGACCACACGCUCCAUUGAACAUUUAUGGCUGCAAAUGGCUCCUCCGUGCAGGUGAGGACAUGGAAGCACAGGGAGGUUAUGCCACUCGCCCAAAGACAACUAAUCAGUGACAGCUGAGACUUGGACUGCAGAACCUACACUUUAUAACUAUUUUACAGUUCUGGGCGUCACGGAAUCUUGCAUGAAGAGCCCCUAACCUGGCCCGGGUGGAGGCUCUGCUUCCUCAGUGUCAGCAUCAUUCACAGCAGGCAUGUCCCUCCUGCCUCCAAGAGAGUCACCAGCAGCUUCCUCCUCCACAUCUGUUCUCUCUCUCUCUCUGGCCAUUCACUGUGGGGGAAGUCAGUUCCAUGCCCUGAGUCCAUUCAGGCAGCUUGUGAAGAGGCCCACAUGGCCAAUAGCCAGUGAGGAACUGAGGCCUGCAGUGACCACUUGGAUGAGCUUGGAAGCACGUCCUCCAGCCCCAGUCAAGUCUUGAGGUGAGACCACAGUCCUGGCCAACAGGUGACUACAACAUCACGGGAAACCCAAAGCCAUUCAGCUAAGCCACUCUCAGAUUGCUGAUCCCCAGAAGCUGCAUGAGAUAAUAAAUGUUUGUUGUUUUAA